rnacentral:tRNA from 1 species
UGGCUCAGUGGUAGAGCGCUUGCCUAGGAAGCACAAGGUCCUGGGUUCAAUCCCCAG